CUACUACCGAUUGGAUGGUUUAGUGAGGUCCUCGGAUCGGCCCCGCCGGGGCUCCUCGCCGGGCCCUGGCGGAGCGCCGAGAAGACGAUCAAACUUGAUCCUCUAGAGGAAGUAA
rnacentral:ncRNA from 1 species